AACCUACCCUUCAGAGGGGGACAACAGUUGGAAACGACUGCUAAUACCGCAUACGAUCUGACCUCGGCAUCGAGGAUGGAUGAAAGGUGGCCUCUAUUUAUAAGCUAUCACUGAAGGAGGGGAUUGCGUCUGACUAGCUAGUUGGAGGGGUAACGGCCCACCAAGGCGAUGAUCAGUAGCCGGUCUGAGAGGAUGAACGGCCACAUUGGGACUGAGACACGGCCCAGACUCCUACGGGAGGCAGCAUG
rnacentral:rRNA from 1 species